rnacentral:rRNA from 1 species
GAUGAACGCUGGCGGCGUGCCUAACACAUUCAAGUCGAACGGAGUUGUUUGAAUUAAUCCUUCGGGAAGCGUUUAAACAACUUAGUGGCGGACGGGUGAGUAACGCGUGAGCAACCUGCCUUACAGAGGGGGAUAACACAGGGAAACUUGUGCUAAUACCGCAUGACACAUCGAAGGGGCAUCCCUUUGAUGUCAAAGAUUUUAUCGCUGAAAGAUGGCCUCGCGUCCCAUUAGAUAGUUGGCGGGGUAACGGCCCACCAAGUCGACGAUGGGUAGCCGGACUGAGAGGUUGACCGGCCACAUUGGGACUGAGAUACGGCCCAGACUCCUACGGGAGGCAGCAGUGGGGAAUAUUGGGCAAUGGACGCAAGUCUGACCCAGCAACGCCGCGUGAAGGAAGAAGGCUUUCGGGUUGUAAACUUCUUUUGUCAGGGAAGAGUAGAAGACGGUACCUGACGAAUAAGCCACGGCUAACUACGUG